rnacentral:rRNA from 1 species
UACGUAGGUGGCAAGCGUUAUCCGGAAUUAUUGGGCGUAAAGGGCGCGCAGGCGGUUUUGUAAGUGUGAUGUGAAAGCCCACGGCUCAACCGUGGAGGGUCAUUGGAAACUGCAUGACUUGAGUGCGGAAGAGGAAAGUGGAAUUCCAUGUGUAGCGGUGAAAUGCGUAGAGAUCUGGAGGAACACCAGUGGCGAAGGCGGCUUUCUGGUCUGUAACUGACGCUGAGGUGCGAAAGCGUGGGGAGCGAACAGG